rnacentral:lncRNA from 1 species
GACAAAUGCUUCCUACCAUUGGGGGCUUCAGUACUUACAAAGGGGGAUGUAAAAGCAGAGAAAAUGUGGGAGAGAAGGGGGGAGCACAAAAGUGUGUGCUUCUAGGGCCUUUGGAUAUUUUGACAAUCACAGUUCAAGUUGCUGUCCGCCUUCCCAUGAUGUGCUAGGUGCUAGGAAAUCUCCAUCAUCUGUUCAUUCUUUAUUCCCUGUCCAAGCUCCAGGAAUAGUCAGUGAGGCUGGUUUCCUGACCACUGUAUUUUCUCACCUCUCUUUACCCAAACCCAUCUUUCACCUCCUUUCUAUCUGUCUCUCCCGUUCAUUUCUCUUUAAUCCUUCAUUUCAUGCUCAGCUGUUACUUUCCCCCUCCUCCAAGAAGCCUUCCCUGAAUGCCCUGGGACAAACUGGGCCCCCUUCUCCAUUGUGCAGUGAGCUUGGUCAUGACUGUUCUGCUUCUGUGCCUUCCUUUUUACUCAGACUGGAAGCUUGUGGAGGCUGUGGACCCUUCUGCUGUCCCCACUUAGCACUUGCCAGGGCAAUCGUAAGCACCGGGGUCACAGAAUGGUCUCAUGCAGCCUGCGAUAACCUUACUAUGUAGCCAAGGAUGACCUUGAAGCCCUGGCCCUCCAGCUUCUAUCUCCUGAGUGUCAAGACUACUGAGUGCUGGGAUUUUGAGCAUGCAUGACCACACCUGAUUUUUGUAGCACUGGGAUUCGAACCCAAGGCUCUGUGGUACCAGGAAAAAGAAAGUGGAGGAUGUAUCCAGACAAGGCC